rnacentral:tRNA from 1 species
GCCUUCGUGGUAUAGUGGUGUGCAUGCUCGACGCGUAACCGAGAGAUCCGUGGUUCGAUUCCCGGCGAAGGCG